AGCGAACGCUGGCGGCAGGCCUAACACAUGCAAGUCGAGCGCCCCGCAAGGGGAGCGGCAGACGGGAGAGUAACACGUGGGAACGUACCCUUUAGUUCGGAACAACCCAGGGAAACUUGGGCUAAUACCGGAUACGUCCGUAAGGAGAAAGAUUUAUCGCUAAAGGAUCGGCCCGCGUCUGAUUAGCUAGUUGGUGAGGUAAUGGCUCACCAAGGCGACGAUCAGUAGCUGGUCUGAGAGGAUGAUCAGCCUCACUGGGACUGAGACACGGCCCAGACUCCUACGGGAGGCAGCAGUGGGGAAUAUUGGACAAUGGGCGCAAGCCUGAUCCAGCCAUGCCGCGUGGGUGAUGAAGGCCCUAGGGUUGUAAAGCCCUUUCGGCGGGGAAGAUAAUGACGGUACCCGCAGAAGAAGCCCCGGCUAACUUCGUGCCAGCCGCCGCGGUAACAC
rnacentral:rRNA from 1 species